rnacentral:rRNA from 1 species
AUUGAACGCUGGCGGCAGGCCUAACACAUGCAAGUCGAGCGCGCGGCGGACGGGUGAGUAAUGUAUGGGGACUGCCCGAUAGAGGGGGAUAACUCCUGGAAACGGUAGCUCAUACCGCAUACUAUCGGCUAACCCCCAUGGGAGUAGCUCGUGGGUGGGGUAAUGGCUCACCUAGGCGACGAUCCCUAGCUGGUCUGAGAGGAUGAUCAGCCACACUGGGACUGAGACACGGCCCAGACUCCUACGGAGGCAGCAGUGGGGAAUAUUGCACAAUGGGCGCAAGCCUGAUGCAGCCAUGCCGCGUGUAUGAAGAAGGCCCUAGGGUUGUAAAGUACUUUCAGUCGGGAGGCGUUACCGACAGAAGAAGCACCGGCUAACUCCGUGCCAGCAGCCGCGGUAAUAC